AAGACUAUACUUUCAGGGAUCAUUUCUAUAGUUUCUAACUAGGAAAUGUGUUUCGAAAGUGUUUAGUCUCUCAGACCACGAUGAAGAGUAUUGAUACUUCUUUCUGAACGUGAAUCGAACACUGAGUAAUGAUUUAUUUCAUAAGCUCUGUGUUAUUGAUGAACGUUCCUCAGUGCAUUCAGCAACUGUGGAGGAAAGGAGUAUGAGCGGAGUGGU